AUUGAACGCUGGCGGCAGGCCUAACACAUGCAAGUCGAGCGGAGCGGCCGACGGGCGAGUAAUGCCUAGGUAUCUGCCUGGUCGUGGGGGAUAACGUCCGCAAACGGGCGCUAAUACCGCAUACUUUCAGCUGAGCCUAGGUGGGAUUAGCUAGCUGGUGGGGUAAAGGCCUACCAAGGCGACGAUCCGUAACUGGUCUGCGUGGAUGAUCAGCCACACUGGAACUGAGACACGGUCCAGACUCCUACGGGAGGCAGCAGUGGGGAAUAUUGGACAAUGGGCGAAAGCCUGAUGCAGCCAUGCCGCGUGUGUGAAGAAGGUCUUCGGAUUGUAAAGCACUUUAAGUUGGGAGGCGUUACCAACAGAAUAAGCACCGGCUAACUUCGUGCCAGCAGCCGCGGUAAUUC
rnacentral:rRNA from 1 species